AUGUUCGGUGCUCUUUAUCUGCAUCUUCUGUUACUGCUGCUCUCAGGGAGUUGUAAAAGCGCUCUCAUCUCCCAGUGGCCGGAGCGUUUGUCUCUACAAAAGGAGAACACGACAGUCAUGCACUGUUAUCAAAAUGACACUAGCAAUACCAACAUGUACUGGUACCGGCAGCUCAGAGAAGCAGGCCUGCAGCUCGUGGCAACCUCGUUUGGUACCUCAGAGCCCACGUUCGAAGACGAUUUCAAGGCCAGGUUCGAAGGCACCAGGCGCAAUCUUGAGUCGUGCACCGUGAAAAUCCUGAAGCUGCAAGCGUCUGAUACUGCAGUUUAUUUCUGCGCUGCUAGUGAUCACAGCGAUACAAACAAGUGCAGGGUUGUUGCUAAAACUCACGAGUGGUUAGUUUGA